GACGAACGCUGGCGGCGUGCUUAACACAUGCAAGUCGAACGGUGACGGACCUUCGGGUCCUGAUCAGUGGCGAACGGGUGAGUAACACGUGGGCAACCUGCCCCUAGCGCUGGGAUAACUCCUCGAAAGAGGUGCUAAUACCGGAUACCACCUUCCACGGCAUCGUGGUUGGUUGAAAGUUUUUCGGCUAGGGAUGGGCCCGCGGCCUAUCAGCUUGUUGGUGGGGUAGUGGCCCACCAAGGCGACGACGGGUAGCCGGCCUGAGAGGGCGACCGGCCACACUGGGACUGAGACACGGCCCAGACUCCUACGGGAGGCAGCAGUGGGGAAUAUUGCGCAAUGGGCGAAAGCCUGACGCAGCAACGCCGCGUGAGGGAUGACGGCCUCGGUUGUAACCUACUUUCAGCAGGGACGAAGCGAAAGUAGACUGUACCUGCAGAAGAAGACGCCGGCUAACUACGUAGCCAGCAGCCGCGGUAAU
rnacentral:rRNA from 1 species